rnacentral:misc_RNA from 1 species
GAAUCGCAGUCCACACCAGUCUUCAUAUGCACAUGAGCUUAAGGCACCCAAAUCCUCACCUUCGUUCUUUGCUACGCUUCACAAGGUCUCCUGAAUCCCUUUGGAGAUGUCAAUGGACAUACAUUAGUGACUACCACAAAUUGCUUCGAGUGCUUGAUCUCCAGGGUGCUGCUGUACAUAUAUUACCAAAAGAAACCAGGGCUCAUUCAUUUGCGACACUUGGGAUUGAGGAAUACUGGGUUGAAGAGGUUCUCAUUCUCCAUAAACAACUUGAGUAAGCUACAAACUCUUGACAUUAGGGCUAC